AGGAAAUCCAGUGCAGUGGAAGUGACAAGAAGCCCAGCAUGCUGGAAACUGGGGCAGCAAAAACAAACUCGGCAGAAAGCUCAUGUGGCUCAAUCUCAGAUUCCAGAAGACCUCCAGUUAAGAAACGUCGGACCAAUGGACAAAGCCCUGAGAGGGAUUGUCAGAAGAUCCUCUGACCAAUCUUGAGGAAAUCUGGUACACUGGUGGAAGCAGCUUUGUCUUGGAUGGGAAAAGAAGAGCCGGAUAUACAGUAGUCUCCAAUUUUGAGACCACAGAGGCUAAACCUUUGCCACCAGAUGAAGAAACUGAGGCUCCAAUGUGCAAGGUCUGCUGGGAAGUGAAAGAGGAAUUCAACCCAGGUCUGGCGCCUUAAUACCCUGGUCUGGAGAUGUUCAUGGGAGCCAUAUUUGUAAGAAGAAUGGAUCAAAAAUAGUAAACUGUGCAGCAAUUAAAAUGGGCAGACAUUUUAUCUUGGAGAUGAGAGAAUAAAUUGAUACAACCAUUCAUGAAAGCAAUUAACAAUAUGAAUAGAGUGCUUCUGUAAAGUUUAUACUCUUUGAACAACAAUUCAUUGACUAGGAUCUUAUCCUAAGGUAUUAAUCAGAAAUUUUGAAAUGGCUAUUUGAAGAAAUACUUACUGAGAUAGCAUCUAAAAAUUAUUUUUAACUGGAAAGACACGAAAGAUUUACAAUUAGAUAAUGAGUUUAAUAAAUCAAUGGUUCUUUAUGUGCCAUACUGUCACACAAGCAUUUUAAAUGGUGUUUUAAUAACAUAUGAAACUGUUGAUAGUAUUUUAAGUGAAAAAAAAGCAUGAUCAAAUUAUUGCAUGCACAUUGUGAUCCCAG